GGCUGGUUAGCUCAGUUGGUUAGAGCAUGGUGUUGGUAACACCAAGGUCAAGGGUUCGUAUCCCCAUCCCAGCCA